GUCGCGACUAUUGUCAUAGUCAACGACGGUUGAAACUUUGAGGAAAAAACUUCAAAUUUGGAGGGCGGUCCUCCGAGUGAACUGACCGCACCCCAAACCAACACAGGUGAACAAGUAGAGUAUACUAGGGCGCGUCGAGAGAACCAUGUCGAAGGAACUCGGCAAAAUGACCCCAUAAUUUCGGGAGAAGGGGUGCUCUCCUAUCUUUUGA
rnacentral:ncRNA from 1 species